UAGCAAUUUUGUUUAUUCACUAAUUUGUAACAUGAUCAGGAUUCACAUCACAACACACAUUAUUCACAUAUCCCUUACAGCACAAGAUACACUCAACACCUGCAGCAAUUUGUUUUGUUGUGGAUGGCCGUGGACAGAGAAAGCAGUGUUAAACAGCAGUGGAGCGCUUUUAUAGUGUUAGACUUUAGCAUAUCACUGGAUUGGAUGUGUGUGAAGGCUGUUUUGUGUGUGUUUUAAUUGCAUGACAAAAUGCUUUUCACGUUGACUCGGGUGAUACAGUAAAAUCGUAGAGUCAUGCUUCGACUAGGACCUACGCACAGGCUGGUUGUGUGUGCUGUGCACUGUUAACUAUGAUACCUGAGAGCUGAUGGUGAUGGUAUGAAUAAUUCACUCAGUCAAGACUUAAGGUAGAAACAGCUGUAAGAGGUAUGUGUAAACACUUAUUCCAUCCUUAUUACUGCUAAAAUAACAAUGGCAAGGCCCAAAAACAAACCACACACACGGUACACUGGUGAGCACUGCAUACCUCAUUUGAGUGAAACCAUUGCGGUGGUGACUGUGUGGGAUACAGACCAAUUACUCCCUGAAUCAAGACACUUCCCUUCAUUAAACUGUGGAUGGGUUUUGGUAGAGCAUAAGAGAGCAGUAUGUCAGACACAAAGAAAUCAGCAGAUACUUAUUAACGGAUUCUAAAGCGGGAAAAGAAACCCCAGCUACACAAAGAUUCCCAAAUGAGUGCACAGUUUUGCUCCUCGUUUCAUGACGUUUCACAAAAUCUACAUGCCACAAGUUGGCGACUGGUCUCUUGUCCGUUAGCAGCACAAGCAGGUUUUGCCAUUCAACUGAAAGCUACACAAAUACCUCAACUGAACUUAAGCCAACUGAAAAGUUAAUGUAUAAAAAGCACAAAACAAAAAUAAAGAUAAAAGGUCUCUAUCUUUGGAUGCACCAGAUACAUUCUCCAAUGUUAAAAAUAUCCCUCAAAUAUGACGUCAAGCUGCAGUUUAGACCUGUGUGUGCUCAGAAGCUAUGCUACUGAAAUCACUGGCCAGAGAUUUAUAAAAGGUUUUGGUUGACAGACAUUAAGUGCCUAGACUGAGGAUGUCACACAUAAGGCUUGGGGGCCAGAAUCAGUCCGGCAAAGACUCCAAUCUGGCCCACAGAAUGGCUUUGAUAUUGGACUUUUAACUGUGUUUUCAUGAGCUUUAGAGCUUUUUAUACACAUAAGGACCUCCCCGAUUGCCAUCCAUACUACCCUAAAGUAAUUAAGUAAUAGAUAAACAAUUAAAUCACAGAAAAGAUUGCGUUUUUUCACUAUUAAAUGCAGAAUUUUUUUUCUACAAUGAGUC
ensembl:lncRNA